AUACGGAGGCUGCAAGCGUUAAUCGGAAUUACUGGGCGUAAAGCGCUCGUAGGCGGUUUGUUAAGUCGGAUGUGAAAGCCCCGGGCUCAACCUGGGAACUGCAUUCGAUACUGGCAAACUAGAGUAUAGUAGAGGCAAGUGGAAUUCCGGGUGUAGCGGUGAAAUGCGUAGAUAUCCGGAGGAACAUCAGUGGCGAAGGCGACUUGCUGGACUAAUACUGACGCUGAGGAGCGAAAGCGUGGGGAGCAAACGGGAUUAGAAACCCCGGUAGUCC
rnacentral:rRNA from 1 species